UACGUAGGGGGCAAGCGUUGUCCGGAAUCAUUGGGCGUAAAGCGCGUGUAGGCGGUUCGGUAAGUCUGCUGUGAAAGUCCAGGGCUCAACCCUGGGAUGCCGGUGGAUACUGUCGGACUAGAGUACGGAAGAGGCGAGUGGAAUUCCCGGUGUAGCGGUGAAAUGCGCAGAUAUCGGGAGGAACACCAAUUGCGAAGGCAGCUCGCUGGGACGUCACUGACGGCUGAGACGCGAAAGCGUGGGGAGCAACAGG
rnacentral:rRNA from 1 species